rnacentral:rRNA from 1 species
GCUUACGGCCACACAGGCCUGAGUACGCCUGAUCUCGUCCGAUCUCGGAAGCUAAGCAGGGUUGGGCCUGGUUAGUACUUGGAUGGGAGACCGCCUGGGAAUACCAGGUGCUGUAAGCU